AAGUCGUAACAAGGUUUCCGUAGGUGAACCUGCGGAAGGAUCAUUACCGAGUUUGCGCCCUCCGGGGUCGAUCUCCCACCCGUGCCUACCGACCCUGUUGCUUUAGCGGGCCGUCCGUUCCUCGGCUACCGGCUCCCGCUGGUACGCGCCCGCUAGAGGUCUCAACCACAAACAUAUUAACCGUGACCAUCUGAGGAGAAAUACAGAAACUAAAAACUUUCAACAACGGAUCUCUUGGCUCUA
rnacentral:misc_RNA from 1 species